GCCCAGCUAGUAUGGGGAAUAUGACCUUCGGCUUGUAACCGAGUGGGUUCGGGUUUGAAUCCCGAGUAAGGUA